UACGAAGGGUGCAAGCGUUACUCGGAAUUACUGGGCGUAAAGCGCGUGUAGGCGGCUUUGCAAGUCGGGUGUGAAAGCCCUCAGCUCAACUGAGGAAGUGCGCCCGAAACUGCAGAGCUUGAGUGCCGGAGAGGGUGGCGGAAUUCCCCCAAGUAGAGGUGAAAUUCGUAGAUAUGGGGAGGAACACCGGUGGGCGAAGGCGGCCACCUGGACGGUAACUGACGCUGAGACGCGAAAGCGUGGGGAGCAAACAGG
rnacentral:rRNA from 1 species